rnacentral:lncRNA from 1 species
CGUGAAUGUGUGAAAAGAGCAUAAACAAAUUUAGCUAUUUAUGGGAAAACGCGUAGAAUACACUAUAAAUGUUAUGAAUUAUUUUGUGUAGAACAAAGAUAGUCACAGAUAGAGAGGAAAACAAAUUGGGGACGUGAAUUUCUUAUUUUCAACAAUCAAGGUAGGAUACUUUUAUGUGCAAGUGUAUGUCCUUUCAAUAUUAUGAUUUUUAUGCGU